UCUGGUGGUGUUGGUGAUUCUAGGACGCAAAGCAAAGCCGACCGUGGCAGCAGCCAGGAAUCGGACGCGGAAACCUUCGUGAGCCAAACAGCAGCAGCGGAACGCUUUCGAAGGAGGGUGAUGCGGGUACGGGACGAGGUCAAGUGCUCAAAAAGGACAGGGCGAGCUUCCUGCAGGAACUUCAGCUGUUCCACGACCGGAAUGGAUAAACAUCUGGUUUUUGGUCAAGUACGAGACAGGUGAUAUUCACGGUGAGGAAAAGGAGCCGACGAGAAGCGGGAUAAUCGGAGGUGGCCAGAGCGGCUGUUGCACUCGGUGCCGGCGAUUUACAACACCGCAACUAACCGCCCACAAAUGCUCAUCUCGCGACGGCGCAGCUCAAGCCGAAUGAAUCUGGACAGCGUGCCGAAAAAAUCUGUGUCAUUCUCGAAGGAGGAUGAAGUACUCGAAAUCGAAUUCUGUUCCGAGGGCCUCAUCAACCCAAUGUUCCGGAUGCGCUUCCAGUAUCGGGAACUCCCCGUUCAGGCACUUCACUUUCCAGCCGGGAAACGUCGAUCAACCUUGCCGAAUCUACAGUCAACUUCUCCAAACCUGUCCUGAAGGCCGGCAACGUGACCAUCCUGUUCUCUACUUUGCUGUCGCGCGUCGAAACGUCCAUCCGGAACCGUUCAGAUUGGGGUCUUCGGAAGUGACCGGGAAAACUGUUGAUUCCGGAGACAUCGGAUGUUUUGUCGAU